rnacentral:rRNA from 1 species
AGAGUUUGAUCCUGGCUCAGGAUGAACGCUGGCGGCGUGCCUAACACAUGCAAGUCGAGCGAUUUACUUCGGUAAAGAGCGGCGGACGGGUGAGUAACGCGUGGGUAACCUGCCUCAUACACAUGGAUAACAUACCGAAAGGUAUGCUAAUACAAGAUGAUAUAAGAGAUUCGCAUGGAUUUCUUAUCAAAGCUCCGGCGGUAUGAGAUGGACCCGCGUCUGAUUAGCUAGUUGGUAAGGUAACGGCUUACCAAGGCGACGAUCAGUAGCCGACCUGAGAGGGUGAUCGGCCACAUUGGAACUGAGACACGGUCCAAACUCCUACGGGAGGCAGCAGUGGGGAAUAUUGCACAAUGGGCGAAAGCCUGAUGCAGCAACGCCGCGUGAGCGAUGAAGGCCUUCGGGUCGUAAAGCUCUGUCCUCAAGGAAGAUAAUGACGGUACUUGAGGAGGAAGCCCCGGCUAACUACGUGCCAGCAGCCGCGGUAAUACGUAGGGGGCUAGCGUUAUCCGGAUUUACUGGGCGUAAAGGGUGCGUAGGUGGUUUCUUAAGUCAGGAGUGAAAGGCUACGGCUCAACCGUAGUAAGCUCUUGAAACUGGGAAACUUGAGUGCAGGAGAGGAAAGUGGAAUUCCUAGUGUAGCGGUGAAAUGCGUAGAUAUUAGGAGGAACACCAGUAGCGAAGGCGGCUUUCUGGACUGUAACUGACACUGAGGCACGAAAGCGUGGGGAGCAAACAGGAUUAGAUACCCUGGUAGUCCACGCCGUAAACGAUGAGUACUAGCUGUCGGAGGUUACCCCCUUCGGUGGCGCAGCUAACGCAUUAAGUACUCCGCCUGGGAAGUACGCUCGCAAGAGUGAAACUCAAAGGAAUUGACGG